AGCAGAUCGGAUAAAUCAAGGUUGUAUAUGAGGAGAUUACGCCGAUCGCCAUUUUUUCACUAAGG